rnacentral:rRNA from 1 species
UACGUAGGCAGCAAGCGUUGUUCGGAAUUACUGGGCGUAAAGCGUGCGUAGGCGGUGUCUCAAGUUUGGUGUGAAAUCUCCCGGCUCAACUGGGAGGGUGCGCCGAAAACUGAGGUGCUCGAGUGUGGGAGAGGUAGGCGGAAUUCCUGGUGUAGCGGUGAAAUGCGUAGAUAUCAGGAAGAACACCAAUGGCGAAAGCAGCUCUCUGGGACGGUACUGACGCUGAGACGCGAAAGCGUGGGGAGCGAACAGG